GAAUCGGGAGAGACCGCCCAGGUGGCGCCGAAGGGGAACGCAGAAGCUCUCAGGCAAAAGGACCGAUUUC
rnacentral:ncRNA from 1 species